CUUGACAUCCUUUGACAACUCUAGAGAUAGACGCUCCCCUUCGGGGACAAAGUGACAGGUGGUGCAUGGUUGUCGUCAGCUCGUGUCGUGAGAUGUUGGGUUAAGUCCCGCAACGAGCGCAACCCUUAUCUUUAGUUGCCAUCAUUAGGUUGGGCACUCUAGAGAGACUGCCGGUGACAAACCGGAGGAAGGUGGGGAUGACGUCAAAUCAUCAUGCCCCUUAUGAUUUGGGCUACACACGUGCUACAAUGGAUGGUACAAAGGGUAGCAAAACCGCGAGGUCAAGCAAAUCCCAUAAAACCAUUCUCAGUUCGGAUUGUAGUCUGCAACUCGACUACAUGAAGCUGGAAUCGCUAGUAAUCGUAGAUCAGCAUGCUACGGUGAAUACGUUCCCGGGCCUU
rnacentral:rRNA from 1 species